rnacentral:rRNA from 1 species
AAUUUUGGACAAUGGGGGAAACCCUGAUCCAGCCAUCCCGCGUGUAUGAUGAAGGCCUUCGGGUUGUAAAGUACUUUUGGCAGAGAAGAAAAGGUAUCUCCUAAUACGAGAUACUGCUGACGGUAUCUGCAGAAUAAGCACCGGCUAACUACGUGCCAGCAGCCGCGGUAAUACGUAGGGUGCAAGCGUGAAUCGGAAUUACUGGGCGUAAAGGGUGUGUGGGCGGUUCGGAAAGGAAGAUGUGAAUGCCCAGGGCCUAACCUUGAAACUGGAUUUUUAUCGGCCGAGCUAGAGUAUGUGAGAGGGGGGUAGAAGUCGACGUGUAGCAGUGGAAGGCGUAGGUAUGGGGAGGAAUACCGAUAGCGAAGGCGGCCCCCUGAGAUAAUACUGACGCUCAGACAGGAGAGCGUGGGGAGCAAACAGG